rnacentral:rRNA from 1 species
UACGAAGGGGGCUAGCGUUGUUCGGAAUUACUGGGCGUAAAGCGCACGUAGGCGGAUAUUUAAGUCAGGGGGUGAAAUCCCCAGAGCUCAACUCUGGAACUGCCUUUGAUACUGGGUAUCUUGAGUAUGGAAGAGGUAAGUGGAAUUCCGAGUGUAGAGGUGAAAUUCGUAGAUAUUCGGAGGAACACCAGUGGCGAAGGCGGCUUACUGGUCCAUUACUGACGCUGAGGUGCGAAAGCGUGGGGGAGCAAAACAGG